GUGCCUUAAACUAAUGAGUAAGGAAAAUAUAGAGCUUUGGUAACGCUUAGCCAUGCUAUAACAUAAGCGACCGUAUUUUUGAAGGGGUACAGGUCGUCCCGGGCUGCUUGAACUACUUUUUCGAGCGGCCGGGUGAAGCGAUCUGCUCC
rnacentral:snRNA from 1 species